rfam:Daucus carota subsp. sativus cultivar DH1 chromosome 4, whole genome shotgun sequence.
AGCCGAAGGAGAGAGCUCCCUUCAGCCCAGUCAUGGAUGAAUUAGUUACUGCUGCUGCUGCGGCCGACUCAUUCAUUUAAGCACCUGGUAGACAUCGCGGUGGUUGAAUGAAUGAAGCGGGAGAUAGCUAGUUUUCCAGUGCUUGGACUGAAGGGAGCUCCCUUCUUUUGUUUC